GGCCCCAUCGUCUAAUGGCUAGGACGCUAGGUUCUCAUCCUAGUAAUUCGGGUUCGAAUCCCGGUGGGGUCACCA
rnacentral:tRNA from 2 species